UNAAAGAGAUAGGAGUUGAACCUACGUCUAAGGGAU
rnacentral:tRNA from 1 species